AACGAACGCUGGCGGCAUGCCUAACACAUGCAAGUCGAACGAGACCUUCGGGUCUAGUGGCGCACGGGUGCGUAACGCGUGGGAACCUGCCCUUAGGUUCCGAGUAACUCCCCGAAAGGGGUGCUAAUACCGGAUAAUGUCUUCGGACCAAAGAUUUAUCGCCUUUGGAUGGGCCCGCGUUGGUUUAGCUAGUUGGUAGGGUAAAAGCCUACCAAGGGGACGAUCCAUAGCUGGUCUGUGAGGAGGAUCAGCCACACUGGGACUGAGACACGGCCCAGACUCCUACGGGAGGGAGCAGUGGGGAAUAUUGGACAAUGGGCGAAAGCCUGAUACAGCAAUGCCGCGUGAGUGAUGAAGGCCUUAGGGUUGUAAAGCUCUUUUACCCGGGAUGAUAAUGACAGUACCGGGAGAAUAAGCUCCGGCUAACUCCGUG
rnacentral:rRNA from 1 species